GAACACCUUUCCCCCCCUUCAACAUGCAAGGAAUUUACAGAAAAGGGGGUGGUCCUCAAAGAAAACCAGUACACCAGGUGCAUCGCGGUGGUCAUCUCGUGUGGUGAGAAGUUGUGGGAUGACCCCCAGCAAGGGCAACACCCCUCCUCAUUUGUUACCUCAUUAAGUUGGGCACUCUAAUGAGACUGCCGGUGACAAACCGGAGGAAGGUGGGGAUGACGUCAAGUCCUCAUGGCCCUUAUGGGUAGGGCUACACACGUGAUACAAUGGCCGGUACAAAGGGUUGCCAACCCGCGAGGUGGAGCCAAUCCCAGAAAGCCGGUCGUAGUCCGGAUUGCAGUCUGCAACUCGACUCCAUGGAGUGCGGAAUCGGUAGGA
rnacentral:rRNA from 1 species